GACGAACGCUGGCGGCGUGCUUAACACAUGCAAGUCGAACGGUAAGGCUCCAGCUUGCUGGGGUACACGAGUGGCGAACGGGUGAGUAACACGUGGGUGACCUGCCCUGCACUUCGGGUUAAGCCUGGGAAACUGGGUCUAAUACCGGAUAGGACCAUGGUGUGGAUACUGUGGUGGAAAGUUUUUUCGGUGUGGGAUGGGCCCGCGGCCUAUCAGCUUGUUGGUGGGGUAAUGGCCUACCAAGGCGGCGACGGGUAGCCGGCCUGAGAGGGUGGACGGCCACAUUGGGACUGAGACACGGCCCAGACUCCUACGGGAGGCAGCAGUGGGGAAUAUUGCACAAUGGGCGGAAGCCUGAUGCAGCGACGCCGCGUGGGGGAUGACGGCCUUCGGGUUGUAAACUCCUUUCACCAUCGACGAAGGGUUUCUGACGGUGGAUGGAGAAGAAGCACCGGCUAACUACGUG
rnacentral:rRNA from 1 species